UCUUGAUUUUUUUAGGGCUUGAUAUUGUGACCUUAGUGAUACUCUUUUAGCACAGCUUCUGCCUUUGCCAUGCCUUUGGAUGUGCGUGGGGCUGAAAUUGUGUUUCCUUUGCCACACAUAGAAGUGACCUAACUUCCACGCGCUGUCUUACCCUUUUUAUUAAUGUUAUCUUGCCACGGGACAGGGGGUGAAUGCGAGAAGAGUCGAGCGCAAGUUGAUUCACCUGCUAUCUUAUUGUCUGCAGUACAUAAAUCUUGAAAAGUGUGCUUUGAAUGGGAAAGGAUACCAACUUAAUGAUACAUUUACUCUAACUACAGCUGGGCGUGCGCAGAAUCCUAAUGUGCGCUGCAGACUCUUCAUUGUAACAGAUGUUGCUUUCUGCUUAUAAAAUCUCUCAACUCCCAAGUCAGCGUGUAGCAAGCUGCAAAUGGUAUUUCAAAAUGAAAAAUCACAGGUGUUUUCUGGAUGUCAUCCAAAGAAAGGAGCGCAGAUUUCAGGCAGAAAUCAAAUCAGACAACAUGGAAAGAUCCCCCUGAACAUCUCAGACAGUCAACAGAUGGUAGCUGUGCCAUUAAGAGUCAGCCUUCUCACCUGGGAAACUCAUGGCCAUGAGCAGCAAAAGUCACAGCUCCCGUAAUCAGAUGGUGUCCUGUCCCUGUCACCUGGAAAAGCCCCCCCUACGCCCCCGGGGGAACGGUGUGGCCCCGUCACCCCCGGAGCGGCCGUGC